UCGUUCCUUUCUCCUCUGUGCCCCAUAUGACUAUGUGCUGCUAAGACAUGAUAGCAUUCCCUGUGCACGACAGUCAGUUCGUGAGAAAGAGGGAGAAGUCCCCCCUCCACCAGCAAAAGAACGUGGGCUUUGCAAAGAGACUUGAGUUCAAAUCCUGCUCCAUCUCGGACUAGCUGGGGGACCGCAAGUCCCCAGCACUUUGAUGGCAGCACACCAAGGCAGGCAGCCCCACCCUCUAUUCCCAGGAGAAGGGGGGCCACAUGUGCCCCACCCUUUCAGGACUCGCACAGAAAAGCUUCUUUGGCCUCUGGAACUCUCCAUCCUGCUGCAUACCAGUGGUGGUUCUCCUGCUUUGCUGGUACCCUGAGGACAGUUUUGUCCCUGGUUGGUUACUGUAGCAAAACAGGACGUGAACCCAGAUAUUUGACUGUUGAGCCUACACUGCUCACCUCAACACCUCACUGCCCACCCAUGGGAGUCAGAUUAUUCCCCCACU